rnacentral:rRNA from 1 species
CGGGGCCCAUCCCGUAAGGCUAAAUACUCCCGAGAGACCGAUAGCGAACCAGUACCGUGAGGGAAAGGUGAAAAGAACCCCGAGCAGGGGAGUGAAAUAGACCCUGAACCCGUCUGCCUACAAGCGGUCGGAGCAUAGCAAUAUGUGACGGCGUGCCUUUUGCAUAAUGAACCUACGAGUUACCUUCCCCGGCAAGGUUAAGUACCUAAGGUACGGAGCCGAAGCGAAAGCGAGUCUGAAGAGGGCGGCCAGUCGGGGGGGGUAGACGCGAAACCGAGUGAUCUACCCUUGGCCAGGUUGAAGGUUGGGUAACACCAACUGGAGGACCGGAUGGGUAAGCGUUGAAAAGCUUUCCAAUGAGCUGAGGGUAGGGGUGAAAGGCUAAUCAAACUCGGAGAUAGCUCGUACUCCCCGAAAUGCAUUUAGGUGCAGCCUCUUUAUAGUAUAUCGUGAGGUAGAGCGACUGAUUGGAUGCGAGGGCUUCACCGCCUAUCAAGUCCAGAUAAACUCCGAAUGCGCGAUAUAUAUUUACAGGGAGUGAGGGCGCGGGUGCUAAGGUCCGUGUCCGAGAGGAGAAGAAUCCAGACCACCGGCUAAGGCCCCCAAAUGAUCGUUGAGUUGAACUAACGAGGUCGGAUCGCAGAGACAGCUAGGAUGUUGGCUUGGAAGCAGCCAUUCAUUUAAAGAGUGCGUAACAGCUCACUAGUCGAGCGAUCUGGCGUGGAUAAUAAUCGGGCAUAAACGAUCUGCCGAAGCCGUGGAUGUCGUAAGACAUGGUAGGGGAGCAUUCCAUGCGGCGUCGAAGAUGAGGGAUGACCCUUGUUGGAGCGCAUGGAAAAGCAAAUGUAGGUAUGAGUAACGAUAAGGGGGGCGAGAAACCCCCCCGCCGAAAGACCAAGGUUUCCUGAUCAACGCUAAUCGGAUCAGGGUGAGUCGGGACCUAAGGCAAAGCCGAACGGCGCCGCCGAUGGAAGAAUGGGUUAAUAUUCCCAUACUGCCUCAUGGAGUGACGUGGAGACGGAGAAGUGACAGUCCUGCCGGCUGACGGAAUAGCCGGUUGAAGGGUGUAGAUAUUGAUUCCCGUAGGCAAAUCCGCGGGGAGAGUCGAACCUGACAGUAUACCGAGUACUUGUACGAGGUAAUAUGGACGUAACCAUGCUCCCAAGAAAAUCCGCUAAACUUAUCCAUGCGGCACCCGUACCGUAAACGGACACACGUGGUCGGGUUGAGAAUACUGAGGCGCUCGAGUGACUCACGGUUAAGGAACUAGGCAAAUUGACCCUGUAACUUCGGGAUAAAGGGUCCUCGUCGUAAGGCGAGGCGCAGAGAAUAGGUCCAGGCAACUGUUUAACAAAAACACAUGGCUAUGCUAAAUGGAAACAUGACGUAUACAGCCUGACACCUGCCCGGUGCUGGAAGGUUAAGAGGAGAUGUCAUCGCAAGAGAAGCAUUGAAUUGAAGCCCCAGUAAACGGCGGCCGUAACUAUAACGGUCCUAAGGUAGCGAAAUUCCUUGUCGGGUAAGUUCCGACCUGCACGAAUGGUGUAAUGAUCUGGACACUGUCUCAACCGUGAGCUCAGUGAAAUUGUAGUAUCGGUGAAGAUGCCGAUUACCCGCGAUGGGACGAAAAGACCCCGUGAACCUUUACUAUAGCUUUACAUUGAAUUUGGGCAGACGAUGUGUAGGAUAGGCCGGAGGCUUUGAAGGGGGUACGCCAGUAUCCUUGGAGCCGCCGUUGAAAUACGGCCCUUCGGUUGUUUGAGUUCUAACUCCUAGGCAGGAGGACACUGUAUGGUGGGUAGUUUGACUGGGGUGGUCGCCUCCAAAAGCGUAACGGAGGCUUCUAAAGGUGCCCUCAGACCGAUUGGUAACCGGUCGUAGAGUGUAAUGGCAUAAGGGCGCUUGACUGGGAGAGAUACAACUCGAUCAGGUAGGAAACUAGAGCAUAGUGAUCCGGUGGUUCCGCAUGGAAGGGCCAUCGCUCAAAGGAUAAAAGGUACUCCGGGGAUAACAGGCUGAUCCCUCCCAAGAGCUCAUAUCGACGGAGUGGUUUGGCACCUCGAUGUCGGCUCGUCACAUCCUGGGGCUGGAGAAGGUCCCAAGGGUUGGGCUGUUCGCCCAUUAAAGUGGCACGCGAGCUGGGUUCAGAACGUCGUGAGACAGUUCGGUCUCUAUCUAUCGUGGGCGCAGGAGAUUUGAGGGGCUCUGACACUAGUACGAGAGGACCGUGUUGGACGUACCACUGGUUUACCGGUUGUCCCGCCAGGGGCACCGCCGGGUAUCUAAGUACGGAUCGGAUAAGUGCUGAAAGCAUCUAAGUACGAAGCCGGCCUCAAGAUUAGAUCUCCCUGAAGGGUGGUUAUAGACGAUGACCUUGAUAGGCCACAGGUGUAAGGGCGGCGACGUCCGAGCCGAGUGGUACUAAUAGCCCGGGACUUUCCUCA